rnacentral:rRNA from 1 species
GUGGGGAAUUUUGGACAAUGGGGGCAACCCUGAUCCAGCCAUCCCGCGUGUGCGAUGAAGGCCUUCGGGUUGUAAAGCACUUUUGGCAGGAAAGAAACGGCGCUGACUAAUACUUGGCGCAACUGACGGUACCUGCAGAAUAAGCACCGGCUAACUACGUGCCAGCAGCCGCGGUAAUACGUAGGGUGCAAGCGUUAAUCGGAAUUACUGGGCGUAAAGCGUGCGCAGGCGGUUCGGAAAGAAAGAUGUGAAAUCCCAGAGCUUAACUUUGGAACUGCAUUUUUAACUACCGGGCUAGAGUGUGUCAGAGGGAGGUGGAAUUCCGCGUGUAGCAGUGAAAUGCGUAGAUAUGCGGAGGAACACCGAUGGCGAAGGCAGCCUCCUGGGAUAACACUGACGCUCAUGCACGAAAGCGUGGGGAGCAA